rnacentral:rRNA from 1 species
UCUUCUGGGAAUUGAUCAGAAGUAGUAUCUGCCCAAUGAGUAUAUUUAAUGGCCGCGGUAUUUUGACCGUGCAAAGGUAGCAUAAUCAUUUGUCUUUUAAUUGGGGACUUGAAUGAAUGAUUUGACGAGAUAGAGACUGUCUUGGAAUGAAUAGAUUGAAUUUAAUUUUUGAGUUAGAAAGCUUAAAUAAUAAUGGAGGACGAGAAGACCCUAUAGAGUUUUAUAGUUUUGUAUUAAAAUGUAUUAGGUUAUAAUUUUUUAAUAGAUAAUUAUUUGGUUGGGGUGAUGAUAAAAUAUAUGAAACUUUUAUUAAGAGAUGUUAACUAGGAAUAUUGAAGGAAGAAAAUGGAUGUGAUCUUGUAGUAUGGAUUAGAAGAAUAAAUUACCUUAGGGAUAACAGCGUAAUUCUAUUUGAGAGUUCAUAUCGAAAAUAGGGUUUGCGACCUCGAUGUUGGAUUAAGAGUAUUGGUUGGUGUAGAAGCUAGUAUAAUAGGUCUGUUCGACCUUUAAAUUCUUACAUGAUCUGAGC